rnacentral:rRNA from 1 species
GACGAACUGUCCUAACGUUGUUCGGAAUCACUGGGCUUAAAGGGCGCGUAGGCGGUGUGUCAAGUCAGGCGUGAAAGCCCCGGGCUCAACCUGGGAACCGCGCUUGAGACUGGCACGCUAGAGUUCGGGAGAGGAUGGUGGAAUUCCCAGUGUAGAGGUGAAAUUCGUAGAUAUUGGGAAGAACACCGAUGGCGAAGGCAGCCAUCUGGACCGACACUGACGCUGAGGCGCGAAAGCGUGGGGAGCAAACAGG